CUUAUUUCAGAAUAUUAACAAGUUGACUUUUAUUCUUAGUUAAUCGUAAAUUGUUGUAAUAUGCGUAUGACUUGCGAAUGUAAUACUUAGUUAACUACCAGGCUUAAUGGCGUAUGCAGUCUGCAUGUGACCUCCGCAGUCGGCACCCUUCGGAUUCAGAAACGGCCUGCGAUUGGUGGUCCAGCUGUAACUCAUUUUGAGUGACAGAAAAACUGACCAAUCAUACUGUUCCUCUGAAUGGGUGGGUUCUCUUAUCACGAACUUUCAUAGAUAUGUAUGUAUCUAUUAUGACAAAUUCUGCUCGCUCGCUCGGUUCGUGUUUUAAAGAUAAAUGUGACUUUACUGCGGUCUUUUUCGGUUUAUUUAGUUUUGUGUUAAUUAUAUCCACAAAGUAUUCGAAUAAAUUGGUAAUGUAAACCUAUUCUCCGCUGUAAAUUAACGCCCUGUGUUGAAUUUUCCUGCGGAAACAUGAACCAUUGCUGACUGAAUUGUUUGACAAAGGCCUCUUUUACUGGAGUUUUCUGCUGCCCACCGAAACGGGGAAAUAUAACAUUAUUCAUUUAAUUCCACAAAACGUGAGUAAGAUAUUAAAUGUAUAAGUUAUCUUUUUAAAAUGUUUAAGCUUUCUACAUAAUGUAAACUGAACAUUUAUUAUUAUUAUUAUUAUUAUUAAUUUCGCGACCUAUUAUCUAAAUUGUGUGUUCAUGAAGGCCUGUAGUGCAGUUUCCUGCAGGCAACGUGAAACAUUGCUGAGGGAGAACUUUAAUCACAACAAAAGGAUAGUGAAGAAGAGGUGGGACUUGGGCAGCUUGUGAUGGCUGUAAUUGUAAAGAAUGGAUCUUCUAGGAGUGGAAGCCCAAUGGAUGCUGGAAUUGUUAUCGAGGCCUUAAAGAUGUUCCCAGGGCAUGCUUUAUCCUCCUUGGAUUGGAUUGGAUCUAUGCAUUGAAUCUCCAGUAUCCCUGGCAUCUUUUCAGGUGUGAAUCAAUGUAACAGAAGACAAACAUGGAACCUUUCGUCGGGAAAUGUGGACGGUUUUCUUUAAAGACUGUACACUGAAAAAAAUGGACUUGGUGGGUCUUUGAAUUUAAAUAAAAU